CGCGGCCUAUCAGCUUGUUGGUGGGGUAAUGGCCUACCAAGGCGACGACGGGUAGCCGACCUGAGAGGGUGACCGGCCACACUGGGACUGAGACACGGCCCAGACUCCUACGGGAGGCAGCAGUGGGGAAAAUUGCACAAUGGGCGAAAGCCUGAUGCAGCGACGCCGCGUGAGGGAUGAAGGCCUUCGGGUUGUAAACCUCUUUCAGCAGGGACGAAGCGCAAGUGACGGUACCUGCAGAAGAAGCACCGGCUAACUACGUGCCAGCAGCCGCGGUAAAACGUAGGGUGCGAGCGUUGUCCGGAAUUACUGGGCGUAAAGAGUUCGUAGGCGGUUUGUCGCGUCGUUUGUGAAAACCCGGGGCUCAACUUCGGGCUUGCAGGCGAUACGGGCAGACUUGAGUGUUUCAGGGGAGACUGGAAUUCCUGGUGUAGCGGUGAAAUGCGCAGAUAUCAGGAGGAACACCGGUGGCGAAGGCGGGUCUCUGGGAAACAACUGACGCUGAGGAACGAAAGCGUGGGUAGCAAACAGGAUUAGAUACCCUGGUAGUCCACGCCGUAAACGGUGGGCGCUAGGUGUGGGUUCCUUCCACGGAAUCUGUGCCGUAGCUAACGCAUUAAGCGCCCCGCCUGGGGAGUACGG
rnacentral:rRNA from 1 species